AGCUCUGUGGUGAAUUCUCAUAUUGAAUUGCAAAUUCAAAGAAGCAGCUUCAAUUCUGCCGGGGCUUC
rnacentral:tRNA from 1 species